rnacentral:misc_RNA from 1 species
AACCAUAGAAACCUGCGGAGUACCUGCGGAAGGAUCAUUACAGAGUUGCAAAACUCCCACAAACCAUCGCGAAUCUUACCCGUACGGUUGCCUCGGCGCUGGCGGUCCGGAAGGCCCUCGGGCCCCCGGACCCUCGGGUCUCCCGCUCGCGGGGGGCUGCCCGCCGGAGUGCCGAAACCAAACUCUUGAUAUUUUAUGUCUCUCUGAGUAAACUUUUAAAUAAGUCAAAACUUUCAGCAA